GCCUGUUCGAGCGUCAUUAUAACCAAUCAUGCCUGGCAUGGUGUUGGGGCACGCGGUCUCGCGGCCUCAAAAUUAGUGGCGGCGCCGGUAGGCUCUAAGCGUAGUAAUUUCUCUCGCUAUAGGGUCCUGACGGUUGCUCGCCAGAACCCCCACUUCUUAAGGUUGACCUCGGAUCAGGUAGGGAUACCCGCUGAACUUAA
rnacentral:misc_RNA from 1 species